AGAUAUACAAUACAUGUGAUGAUAUCAUGAGAGUUACGCAAAAUCACGAUAUUUAAUUUAAGCGAUUAGUUUUCGAACAAAAGCGAUAUUAGAUAAAUUUCUUCGUAUUAUUUUCCUGAAAUAUACAGUGAAGGAGGAAAGUGUUCGUACAUUAUCAUUUAUGGUGAUAAAUACAACAGUUGCAAUGGCAUCAGGACAUUCUGAUCAAUGUAACUAUUACAUUAGAUGAUGUUAUGUUAGUGUAGUCAGUAGUAAUCGUGGUGAGUACACUUUAGCGCUAAUAUUUGCAAUAAGGGGAGAAAACGCAAAGAGACAACAUUGGAAGAAAGAAAAGUUGUUAUAUGGUUACAUGAAGAAGGUAAAUCAUAUAUGUAGGAGUUAAACAGUAACCGUUACUGAUAAUAUGUACUGCGACAUAGUAACAAGGAAAAAAGCGACAAAAAACACCAAGCGGAUAACAGUUGAUCGGUCAAAACCGUUACCAAUAUAUGUUAGAACGCGUCGACCUUGCGUAAGUGUGUGCAUGUUGUAAAAAUGACAAAAGUGAGCAGCGAUCGGUGGACGUUUCCAACCGUCGGAUCAAACCGACAAAUUCGAAAAAUAACUUCGAGAACGGUUAACCGGCAUGAUAAUAAAAGGACGCGGUCACGACCGAGCGGGGCAUAUUGUAACGAAACCUCGAACGUUUAACACGAUUCUACGCUAACCACGAUUAUAACGAUUCUUUUACGAUCCUUACGCUUAUUACGAAUACGCCUAACGAUUACGACUAACGAUUACGGCUAACGAUUACGACUGACGAUUACGUCUGACGAUUCCGGUACACGAUCUGGAACUAGUGUGUUUUUGGUGUGCGUGUUUGAAGAUUAUUGUGCGCGUGAGUGUUUAACUGUAUUAUUCGUAUUGUACUCAUCGUCCUAUUCAAAUAAAGAGAGAUAGAUAAUUAAAAUUCUACUCCUACAUAUAUGAAUAUAUCAGAAAUACUAAAAAAAAGUCGAUCGACCGUACAAAGUAUUAUAAACAAGUAUAAAAAAGAAGGAAUAUUGCGGAAUAAAAGAAGAGCCGGUAGACCCCGAAAAUUAAUGUGACGCACUCAUUGAAAUAUGAAGUCACCCCGAACUUUGUCACACCCUGAAUCACCAAUAGUAUCAUCACGUCAACAACCAUUAGUCAUCGGUCACUACUUUCAAGUAACAUUGUCAAUAGUCAGUCAUAAGCAAACCCCCGAAACCGAUAAGUCCCCUCUACAAAACUCCUAUCCAUAUAUAAGGGCCCGUGGGCUACGAAUAAAGGUUCAUUCAAAAGUAAAAGUUUAAAUACGUAAAACCUCUGACUGAAUCUCCUGUCUACGGACUUAGUUUCGCGUACGGAUUCUCGCUAAAAAUUGUGUUCGAACCACGUGACAUUAACUACGAGAGGAAAAUGUGAAAUCGUCCGAACUGUUAAAGAAAAACCAGAUACCAAUGCAUUUGAAAUUACAUUACACCUUAAAGAAUAUGUGCUGAAGGAAAUUCACUCUAAAACAGAACGAAAAGUGAUCAAUAUCGGGCCGGAUAUAACAGUAAAGUUGCGAGGAAGAAACCACUCAUAAGCAAGUAAACAAAAAAAGUGAUUAGAAUUUGCGGAACAAUACAUAAUUGCUAGAGACGACUUCUGGAAAAAGAAGUACUAUAUACGUUGUAUUUUCCGAAGAGUUAAAAUUGAAUAUUUUUGAGUCGAACGAUAGUAAAAAAGUAUGGCGAAAAAUUAAUAGUGAAUUGGAUUUCAAAAAUAUGCAACCGACGACGAAACACGGAGGUGGAAAUCAAGACUGUGACGCGAAAGAUACACCCUAUAUAUUAGUGCGUCAGUGGUUGUUAAUACCAAUAGUCCCCACAGGUUAGCAACUCUUCCACGACUGCUUAACUUAAAUCCUAUCGAACAUGUAUAGGCGAAAAUAGAAAAAAUGUGCGAAAACGUGAUAUAACGUCAAAAGAACACUAGAAAGAAAUGUUAAAAAGAGAAUAGUGUAAUAUAGAACCUGUCUUCGUUAAAAGUUUGCUGUUGUCAAUGCUCGAUAUAUUACCUGAAGCGAUUCGCCGGAAGGGUUAUCAUACAAAAUAUUAAUUUAUAAAUUUUCUGCUAAAAUAAUUGUAGCAAUAAUUGAAUGUACGAAUACAUGAGUUACUGUCGUCGGUUUGGGGUCAUUUGUCGCUGUAAGUGUAAUGAUUAAUAUACAGCUAUGUAUGAUUAAAUAUACUUAAUAACAUAGAA